AUUGAACGCUGGCGGCAUGCCUUACACAUGCAAGUCGAACGGCAGCACGGGUGCUUGCACCUGGUGGCGAGUGGCGAACGGGUGAGUAAUACAUCGGAACGUACCUUAUCGUGGGGGAUAGCGCAGCGAAAGCUGUGCUAAUACCGCAUACGCCCUGAGGGGGAAAGCGGGGGAUCGCAAGACCUCGCGCGAUUAGAGCGGCCGAUGCCUGAUUAGCUUGUUGGUGGGGUAAAAGCCCACCAAGUCUACGAUCAGUAGCUGAUGUGAGAGCAUGAUCAGCCACACGGGCACUGAGACACGGGCCCGACUCCUACGGGAGGCAGCAGUAAGGAAUAUUGGACAAUGGACGCAAGUCUGAUCCAGCCAUGCCGCGUGAAGGAUUAAGGUCCUCUGGAUUGUAAACUUCUUUUAUGAGGGACGAAAAAAGGUCUUUCUAGAUCGUCCGACGGUACCUUAUGAAUAAGCACCGGCUAACUACGUGCCAGCCGCCGCCGUAA
rnacentral:rRNA from 1 species